GCUGGGUGCGGUGGCACGUGCCUGUAGUCCCAGCUACUCGGGAGGCUGUGGCUGGAGGAUGCUUGAGCGCAGGAGUUCUGGGCUGCAGUGCACUAUGCCAAUCAGGUGUCUGCACUAAGUUUGGCAUCAAUAUGGUCACCUCCCGGGAGCAUAGGACCACCAGGUUGCCUAAGGAGGGGUGAACCGGCCCAGGUCGGAAAUGGAGCAGGUCAAAAUUCCCAUGCUGAUCAGUAGUGGGAUCGCGCCUGUGAAUAGCCACUGCACUCCAGCCUGGGCAACAGAGCAAGACCCCGUCUCUA
rnacentral:SRP_RNA from 1 species